CAGCCGCCACGGGAAUACAGAGGGUGCGAGCGUUAAUCGGAUUUACUGGGCGUAAAGCGUGCGUAGGCGGCUUCUUAAAUCGGAUGUGAAAUCCCUGAGCUUAACUUAGGAAUUGCAUUCGAUACUGGGAAGCUAGAGUAUGGGAGAGGAUGGUAGAAUUCCAGGUGUAGCGGUGAAAUGCGUAGAGAUCUGGAGGAAUACCGAUGGCGAAGGCAGCCAUCUGGCCUAAUACUGACGCUGAGGUACGAAAGCAUGGGGAGCAAACAGGAUUAGAUACCCGCGUAGUCCCUGUCUCUUAUAC
rnacentral:rRNA from 1 species